UAAAGCCAUGAAAAAUAACAAAAGAUUCUCAUUUGCCACUCAAGUUAGGCUACUGAAAUUGUCAAAUCUGUAUUAACAUCCAUUAUUUAAGAGAAAACCAAAUACAAUAAAUUCACAGUAAUUCAUUGUAUUAUGAGUGUUCAGUUUGUUUCAUUAUUGCAUCACAAGCUAAUGCCAAUGACCGAUCAAUAUGAGAUUUAUGUAGAUUGUAGCUCAAUAGGUGUUGUUGCAUUAGCAAUUCAAAAGACAUGAGUUUGAUACCAUAGGAAAACACAUACUACUGAUAAAAUGUACAGAUUGAAUGCAAGUUGCUUUAGUCUGCCAAAGGUGAAUGUAAAUUACGUCCAAACUCUAUUUGAAAUAAACCAAAAUUAUGAUAUACAACAAAUAAAACUACAUCAGAUGUUCAGAUGUCCAACAACUUUUGACAUUCUUCAGUUCAAAACAAGUGAUCCUCACUAUGGCCAUGAUAAGCAGUGGAUUGAUGGAGGGUCCCAUCAGUCCAUCAUCAAGUUACUGAAGAGGAGAAGGUGGGAGAGGAAGAAUCGGGGGUUUCCCUCCUCCUUUGCCUUGCGGGAGCUUGAACUCUUUUUAAGUCGGCCACCACACCAUGGCUAAUGGCCCCCGCUGAGCCUGCUGUCUCAUUCCCCACAUCAAGCCCAUCGUCCCUAAAUCAAACCAUAGAAAAUUGGGCUUAAAAUUUUGGGGAGAGGCCCCCCAAAAAAGACCCAAAAGCUGCAUCUGUUGCCGGCUUACAUGAAAGUUGGGCUCACGAGCAGUGCUGGUCACUUCGCUGUAGAUCUGAGAUGAAAAAGGUUCAGGCUGGCUACUCUUUGCAUGCACAGCCGGUAGAAAGCAGGAUCGCGGGGACCGUGGGAGAAAUAGUUGUCGUUCGAUAUGUGUCGGCCGGUAACGCAAGAUGGAUUUGGCAUGCGAAUGGUCUUGAGGAGGGAGAGAGAGAUACACCCCCCAACUUCUGCAAACAAAGAACGGAUAAAAGGCAGAUCUCAGCAUAAACAAGAGCGGGAACGAAAUUGAUGGAGAUGUGUUCAGUGCUCUGAUGUGCAUUGUAAGGCAGACAAAGUCAAUGGAGUGAUAUCAAGAUUUUAUUCUCUUCCAUUUUGGCACCAUGGACCUGAGCAGGAAGCGGUUGGCUCCUGACCAGCAUUAUUGUGACAGCCAGGAUGUCGGUUCAGGACCUUUGGUGAAGUCGGGGUCACAGCAGACAAUCAUGCCAGCAUACAAGUGGGUUUUAGCGCGCCCCUUUCAUUCACGUGCAGAGAAAGGUGCCCCUCCCUCAGCACACAGCUUCAAUUCCUCUGGCUUCCCAAGGGAAUGCUGGCUUUCUCUAAAUAAACCUACUAUAUCUCCCACACACAUACAUACUCACACUACAGCAGGAGAGGAAAGCUUUGCGGGAUAUGACCUCGGCACUCCUGGCUACGCACAAGACCUGUGACUUCUUCUCACAGCUUGAUCCUACUGGGAGAAGGCAGGAGAUGCAUAUGUAAUCCUGCAUGAGGUGUGUGUGUGUGUGUGUGUGUGUGUGUGUGUGUGUGUGUGUGUGAGAGAGAGAGAAAGAGCGAAGGACAUUUUUUUCUUUCUUUUUCUUAAGCCCUUAUUUAACACAUGCUGUUUUUUUUACAACUAUGUUAAGGAGCAAAGAGCAAACGGUAUAAUUUUUGGUCUAACUUUGUAUCAACAGAACACAGUCAGUCCUUCUGCUGGAGACUGGAGCCAAGACUGCAUCGGCCAAGGCACACAUGGCUAAAGUUCGAGCAGGUUUUUAAAAAAUGACAGCAAAAAAAUCAUCCACUCAUUAAUGAUAUUUAUACAUAAAUUGACUUUUUUACUACACAUGCAUCAGUUCAAAAGUGGAUAAGGAAACACAUAGCUAAAUGUUAUAUUAUGUUUUAUGACGGAUGUUAUAUUUGCCUUAUUAUUUCACAAAAAAAAGCAUUUAAAAAAUACUGUUAACCACACAUCUUACGUGUGUUGAAAGAGAAUACAAUUAAGAGAAAUGUCACAAAUAAUACUGGUACUGCCUUUAGAGGGAAACUAUAACUGUAUUCUACUGCCAAUCUUGGCUAUGCAAAUAAUUUCAAUGUAAAAAAAAUUAUUGUUUUAUUCUAGCAUUAUUUCCACAAUAAGCAAUGCAUAGUAUCAGCUUUAGUUAGUCCUCAGUAUUCUCAUUUUUAAAUACUUUAAAUAAUUUAACCUAAGAAAUAAGAGUAGCAUUUCAGCUUAUUUCCAAAAUCCAACAAUGAUUGCAUUUAAUAUGCAAUAGUAUGCAACAUUCUCAAUUUGCAGAUAAAAUAUUUUGUUUUGUUUAAAUAUUUUCAUUUUCUUUUUGUACUCUAAUUAAAGAGCAUUAUCAAAGGCAAUCAAAUCAGAGGUUUACAUUUGUGUAUCAUAUACAGGUAUAUGGUGACUGUUCUGAAAAUAUGAAAACAUGGCAUUGCAUAUUUGAAUAUUGAAAGACGUGUGAACUGAAACAGAUGUGAAUCCUAACAUUUACUUAGAUGUACAUUAAUCUGACUCCCUUACAUAUGGAAUGCUGCAUGGGUAAUAGUGUACUAAUAUAUAAAGGGGAAGCUUAAUAUUUGUUUUUAAAAAGACUAUACUUCAAAUGUCAUUAAUUGAAUAAUUAUUCUUUUAUUUUAGUCUGUCAGUGCUGGACACUUAUGUAAAUGUUAUGUCAUUUGGAAAUUAAAUUAUUAUUAUUAGCCUUAAUUAAUAAAUUUAAACUUUCAACUCCGAAACUCAUAUCCUAUUAUUGACAUAUAUUACAAAUAUGUAGUGUUGUAAUAUUAAAGGUGAUGUUUACUGUUAAGGCUAACUGUACUUUGUCUAUGUGUUUGGAUGGUUGUUUGCUGUGGUUUGUCCCAUCUUUUUAAGUCUGCUUGCAGAACAGUAAAUUCCAUUAAGGAGGAGAAGCAGCUGUUGAUGCUCACAACCAACUAACUUGCUUCGCCAUCUGACCAGAUAUGCCAUCAAUGCCCUCCUGUGAGUGGAGGACUAGGAGAGCCCCUCCCAUGGGGACCAGAAUUUUUAGGUUCUGGCAUGUCCGUGGUGGGGUGAAGAGUGGUGUGACCCGCCAGGGAAGCACUCUUCACCACUCCUGUUCUCCGUAGCGACCUCACUAGACCGGACGUGAGGUAUUGGACCUCACAUUGGUCUAAAAUGGGGGACUGAAGGGACCGGUGC